AGUGAACGCUGGCGGUAGGCCUAACACAUGCAAGUCGAACGGCAGCACAGUAAGAGCUUGCUCUUACGGGUGGCGAGUGGCGGACGGGUGAGGAAUACAUCGGAAUCUACUUUUUCGUGGGGGAUAACGUAGGGAAACUUACGCUAAUACCGCAUACGACCUACGGGUGAAAGCAGGGGAUCUUCGGACCUUGCGCGAUUGAAUGAGCCGAUGUCGGAUUAGCUAGUUGGCGGGGUAAAGGCCCACCAAGGCGACGAUCCGUAGCUGGUCUGCUAGGAUGAUCAGCCACACUGGAACUGAGACACGGUCCAGACGCCUACGGGAGGCAGCAGUGGGGAAUAUUGGACAAUGGGCGCAAGCCUGAUCCAGCCAUACCGCGUGGGUGAAGAAGGCCUUCGGGUUGUAAAGCCCUUUUGUUGGGAAAGAAAAGCAGCAGGUUAAUACCCCGCUGUUCUGACGGUACCCAAAGAAUAAGCACCGGCUAACUUCGUG
rnacentral:rRNA from 1 species